rnacentral:rRNA from 1 species
UACGAAGGGGGCUAGCGUUGCUCGGAAUCACUGGGCCGUAAAGCGCACGUAGGCGGAUUGCUAAGUCAGGGGUGAAAUCCUGGAGCUCAACUCCAGAACGUGCCUUUGAUACUGGCGAUCUUGAGUCCGGGAGAGGUGAGUGGAACUGCGAGUGGUAGAGGUGAAAUUCGUAGAUAUUCGCAAAGAACACCAGUGGCGAAGGCGGCUCACUGGCCCGA